rnacentral:rRNA from 1 species
GAGUUUGAUCCUGGCUCAGGAUAAACGCUGGCGGCGUGCCUAAUACAUGCAAGUCGAGCGAACGGACGAGAAGCUUGCUUCUCUGAUGUUAGCGGCGGACGGGUGAGUAACACGUGGAUAACCUACCUAUAAGACUGGGAUAACUUCGGGAAACCGGAGCUAAUACCGGAUAAUAUUUUGAACUGCAUGGUUCAAAAGUGAAAGACGGUCUUGCUGUCACUUAUAGAUGGAUCCGCGCUGCAUUAGCUAGUUGGUAAGGUAACGGCUUACCAAGGCAACGAUGCAUAGCCGACCUGAGAGGGUGAUCGGCCACACUGGAACUGAGACACGGUCCAGACUCCUACGGGAGGCAGCAGUAGGGAAUCUUCCGCAAUGGGCGAAAGCCUGACGGAGCAACGCCGCGUGAGUGAUGAAGGUCUUCGGAUCGUAAAACUCUGUUAUUAGGGAAGAACAUAUGUGUAAGUAACUGUGCACAUCUUGACGGUACCUAAUCAGAAAGCCACGGCUAACUACGUGCCAGCAGCCGCGGUAAUACGUAGGUGGCAAGCGUUAUCCGGAAUUAUUGGGCGUAAAGCGCGCGUAGGCGGUUUUUUAAGUCUGAUGUGAAAGCCCACGGCUCAACCGUGGAGGGUCAUUGGAAACUGGAAAACUUGAGUGCAGAAGAGGAAAGUGGAAUUCCAUGUGUAGCGGUGAAAUGCGCAGAGAUAUGGAGGAACACCAGUGGCGAAGGCGACUUUCUGGUCUGUAACUGACGCUGAUGUGCGAAAGCGUGGGGAUCAAACAGGAUUAGAUACCCUGGUAGUCCACGCCGUAAACGAUGAGUGCUAAGUGUUAGGGGGUUUCCGCCCCUUAGUGCUGCAGCUAACGCAUUAAGCACUCCGCCUGGGGAGUACGACCGCAAGGUUGAAACUCAAAGGAAUUGACGGGGACCCGCACAAGCGGUGGAGCAUGUGGUUUAAUUCGAAGCAACGCGAAGAACCUUACCAAAUCUUGACAUCCUUUGACAACUCUAGAGAUAGAGCCUUCCCCUUCGGGGGACAAAGUGACAGGUGGUGCAUGGUUGUCGUCAGCUCGUGUCGUGAGAUGUUGGGUUAAGUCCCGCAACGAGCGCAACCCUUAAGCUUAGUUGCCAUCAUUAAGUUGGGCACUCUAAGUUGACUGCCGGUGACAAACCGGAGGAAGGUGGGGAUGACGUCAAAUCAUCAUGCCCCUUAUGAUUUGGGCUACACACGUGCUACAAUGGACAAUACAAAGGGCAGCGAAACCGCGAGGUCAAGCAAAUCCCAUAAAGUUGUUCUCAGUUCGGAUUGUAGUCUGCAACUCGACUACAUGAAGCUGGAAUCGCUAGUAAUCGUAGAUCAGCAUGCUACGGUGAAUACGUUCCCGGGUCUUGUACACACCGCCCGUCACACCACGAGAGUUUGUAACACCCGAAGCCGGUGGAGUAACCUUUUAGGAGCUAGCCGUCGAAGGUGGGACAAAUGAUUGGGGUGAAGUCGUAACAAGGUAGCCGUAUCGGAAGGUGCGGCUGGAUCACC